rnacentral:rRNA from 1 species
GACGAACGCUGGCGGCGUGCUUAACACAUGCCAGUCGAACGGAAAGGCCCUGCUUUUGUGGGGUGCUCGAGUGGCGAACGGGUGAGUAACACGUGAGUAACCUGCCCUUGACUUUGGGAUAACUUCAGGGAACUGGGGCGAAUACCGGAUAGGAGCUCCUGCUGCACGGGGGGGGUUGGAAAGUUUCGGCGGUUGGGGCUGGACUCGCGGCUUAUCGGCUGGUUGGUCGGGUAGUGGAUUACCAAGGCUUUGAGGGGUAGGCGGCCUGGGAGGGUGACCGGCCACAUUAGGCCUGAGGUACGGCCCAGACUGCUACGGGAGGCAGCAGUGGGGAGUAUUGCACAAUGGGCGGACGCCUGAUGCAGCGGCGCCGCGUGCGGGAUGACGGCCUUCGGGUUGUAAACCGCUUUCGCCUGUGCCGAAGCGUGAGUGACGGUAAUGGGUCAAGAAGCACCGGCUAACUACGUG